rnacentral:rRNA from 1 species
UACGUAGGCAGCGAGCGUUGUUCGGAGUUACUGGGCGUAAAGCGCGCGUAGGCGGCCCUGUAAGUCCGUUGUGAAAGUCAAAGGCUCAACCUUUGAAAGCCGAUGGAUACUGCAGGGCUAGAGUCCGGAAGAGGCGAGUGGAAUUCCUGGUGUAGCGGUGGAAUGCGCAGAUAUCAGGAGGAACACCAAUAGCGAAGGCAGCUCGCUGGGACGGUACUGACGCUAAGGCGCGAAAGCGUGGGGAGCGAACAGG